rnacentral:rRNA from 1 species
UACGUAGGGUGCGAGCGUUAAUCGGAAUUACUGGGCGUAAAGCGUGCGCAGGCGGUUUUGUAAGCCAGAUGUGAAAUCCCCGGGCUCAACCUGGGAAUGGCAUUUGGGACUGCAAGGCUGGAGUGCGGCAGAGGGGGAUGGAAUUCCGCGUGUAGCAGUGAAAUGCGUAGAUAUGCGGAGGAACACCGAUGGCGAAGGCAAUCCCCUGGGACUGCACUGACGCUCAGGCGCGAAAGCGUGGGGAGCAAACAGG